UCUGGCAGCUAAAAUAAAAAGAAAAGAACAGUAUUAAUUGUAAUUACUAUAGUUGUAAUGCGGGGACCAUAGUUUGCGAUUUGCAUGGUGUGUUAGGUUUCAAACAAAAGAAGAAAAUGAUGUGAAUCUCUCUCUUUUUUCUCAGGGAUUAAUAAAUUAAAAGUGAUGUGCAUUUGCUUCCUUCCUUAUUAGCAUCUUUUCUUCCUUCACUGUCAAUGGUUUUUCCUUCAAAACUUGCCAUUUAUUAGCUAUAUAUUUUCGUUGAUUUUACUACGUGAAGUUUG
rnacentral:lncRNA from 1 species